UGCUCGCGCCUUCCUCGGGCGUUUCCUCCCUAGACUCGGGCCGCCUUCUCAAGGGGCGGCCCUUUUUUCGUCCAGG
rnacentral:sRNA from 1 species